AACACAUUCAUGUGCCUCAGCAUGGGGGCAGCUGCACUGUUGCCUGCCAGCCUGUCCUCUUUGACUGCCGAAUGAACCAAAGGAUAACUCUCCAUUCGUGAGAGAGAGUGAGCUACAGAGGAAGAAAGACCACGCAAAAGGGAGGGGGAGAGAGGGGGGCGAAGAGGAUGUUCUCCGGCUCACUCCUACAUUAGGUCUCUGUGCAAAGGCAGAGGCUGUGGGAGCAGCAUCAAGCAAGACUUCGGGCAGUGAUUCUAACUAUUGCCUAUGAACACCGUGGCUGGGACGACUUUGACGAGGCAAUUUAUUACUUACGCAUAGAACACUGGCUGUGCUGAAACUGGGAGCGCAAACAGCCCCUUGUUUUCUAAUUUAGAGACUUGCAUCUUUUCGACACUCAACAGUAUCAAGACACUCUGCUACUACAGGGAAAUCAUCUUUCGGGAAUUUAUCUAAGAAGAACUUCUUAUGAUAUAUGAAGUCUGGGGGUAAGACCUGCAGUAAUUUCCCUUAAGGUCCUCAGAACACUGCCAUUAAGGGCUUCGAGGUGAAGAUACAUUAGAUUAAAAAUAUGGCAGACAGGGACCCUGAAGCACUUUAAGAAAGCUUGGUCUGCAGGAAAUCCUCAUCUUGGCUCCAAUCAUCAGAAAACUUGAUCUUUACCAGAGGUGAGAAGUUGCUGUUGAAGCCACACUGCUGAUGAGGACUCAGGCAGGUGUCCCGAGAAAUCGCCCAGUCGUGAGAGGAACCAUAAGAACUUUGUAAGGCAGAGGGCGCCCAGAGGCAUGAAAUCCCUAAGGGGAUAUUUAGCAGAACUCGCAGAACUGCCACUGGAGUGUCAGCCGACAGAGGUUACACCUU
rnacentral:lncRNA from 10 species